rnacentral:rRNA from 1 species
CCUACGGGAGGCAGCAGUGGGGAAUAUUGGACAAUGGGGGGAACCCUGAUCCAGCCAUGCCGCGUGUGUGAAGAAGGCCCUCGGGUUGUAAAGCACUUUCAGUGAGGAAGAACGCCUGGUGGUUAAUACCCAUCAGGAAAGACAUCACUCACAGAAGAAGCACCGGCUAACUCCGUGCCAGCAGCCGCGGUAAUACGGAGGGUGCGAGCGUUAAUCGGAAUUACUGGGCGUAAAGCGCGCGUAGGUGGCUUGAUAAGCCGGUUGUGAAAGCCCCGGGCUCAACCUGGGAACGGCAUCCGGAACUGUCAAGCUAGAGUGCAGGAGAGGAAGGUAGAAUUCCCGGUGUAGCGGUGAAAUGCGUAGAGAUCGGGAGGAAUACCAGUGGCGAAGGCGGCCUUCUGGACUGAAACUGACACUGAGGUGCGAAAGCGUGGGUAGCAAACAGGAUUAGAUACCCUUGUAGUC